UGCAGUCGACGAUGAUGCCCAGCUUGCUGGGCGGAUUAGUGGCGAACGGGUGAGUAACACGUGAGUAACCUGCCCCUGACUCUGGGAUAAGCGUUGGAAACGACGUCUAAUACUGGAUAUGAUCACCGGCCGCAUGGUCUGGUGGUGGAAAGAUUUUUUGGUUGGGGAUGGACUCGCGGCCUAUCAGCUUGUUGGUGAGGUAAUGGCUCACCAAGGCGACGACGGGUAGCCGGCCUGAGAGGGUGACCGGCCACACUGGGACUGAGACACGGCCCAGACUCCUACGGGAGGCAGCAGUGGGGAAUAUUGCACAAUGGGCGAAAGCCUGAUGCAGCAACGCCGCGUGAGGGAUGACGGCCUUCGGGUUGUAAACCUCUUUUAGUAGGGAAGAAGCGAAAGUGACGGUACCUGCAGAAAAAGCACCGGCUAACUACGUGCCAGCAGCCGCGGUAAUACGUAGGGUGCAAGCGUUGUCCGGAAUUAUUGGGCGUAAAGAGCUCGUAGGCGGUUUGUCGCGUCUGCUGUGAAAUCCCGAGGCUCAACCUCGGGCUUGCAGUGGGUACGGGCAGACUAGAGUGCGGUAGGGGAGAUUGGAAUUCCUGGUGUAGCGGUGGAAUGCGCAGAUAUCAGGAGGAACACCGAUGGCGAAGGCAGAUCUCUGGGCCGUAACUGACGCUGAGGAGCGAAAGCAUGGGGAGCGAACAGGAUUAGAUACCCUGGUAGUCCAUGCCGUAAACGUUGGGCGCUAGAUGUAGGGACCUUUCCACGGUUUCUGUGUCGUAGCUAACGCAUUAAGCGCCCCGCCUGGGGAGUACGGGCCGCAAGGCUAAAACUCAAAGGAAUUGACGGGGGGCCCGCACAA
rnacentral:rRNA from 1 species